GAUGAACGCUGGCGGCGUGCCUAAUACAUGCAAGUCGAGCGAAUGGAUUGAGAGCUUGCUCUUAUGAAGUUAGCGGCGGACGGGUGAGUAACACGUGGGUAACCUGCCCAUAAGACUGGGAUAACUCCGGGAAACCGGGGCUAAUACCGGAUAACAUUUUGAACCGCAUGGUUCGAAAUUGAAAGGCGGCUUCGGCUGUCACUUAUGGAUGGACCCGCGUCGCAUUAGCUAGUUGGUGAGGUAACGGCUCACCAAGGAAACGAUGCGUAGCCGACCUGAGAGGGUGAUCGGCCACACUGGGACUGAGACACGGCCCAGACUCCUACGGGAGGCAGCAGUAGGGAAUCUUCCGCAAUGGACGAAAGUCUGACGGAGCAACGCCGCGUGAGCGAUGAAGGCUUUCGGGUCGUAAAACUCUGUUGUUAGGGAGGAACAAGUGCUAGUUGAAUAAGCUGGCACCUUGACGGUACCUAACCAGAAAGCCACGGCUAACUACGUGCCAGCCGCCGUCGUAA
rnacentral:rRNA from 1 species